rnacentral:rRNA from 1 species
UCCGUAGGCGGGCGAUUAAGUCAGAGGUGAAAUCCCACAGCUUAACUGUGGAACUGCCUUUGAUACUGGUCGUCUUGAGUUAUAGUGAAGUAGAUAGAAUAUGUAGUGUAGCGGUGAAAUGCUUAGAUAUUACAUAGAAUACCGAUUGCGAAGGCAGUCUACUAACUAACAACUGACGCUAAUGGACGAAAGCGUGGGGAGCGAACAGGAUUAGAUACCCUGGUAGUCC